rnacentral:rRNA from 1 species
UACGUAGGGUGCAAGCGUUGUCCGGAAUUAUUGGGCGUAAAGAGCUCGUAGGCGGUCUGUCGCGUCUGCUGUGAAAACUCAGGGCUUAACCCUGAGCUUGCAGUGGGUACGGGCAGACUAGAGUGCGGUAGGGGAGACUGGAAUUCCUGGUGUAGCGGUGAAAUGCGCAGAUAUCAGGAGGAACACCGGUGGGCGAAGGCGGGUCUCUGGGCCGUAAACUGACGCUGGAGGAGCGGAAAAGCAUGGGGAGCAAACGGG